rnacentral:lncRNA from 1 species
AUUGGGUGCUGGAGAUCCAUAAUACAGUGGAUCCUUAACUGACUGGAAGCAUCACUUUCAGAGCAUCAUUUCAGGAUGAGUGUUUGAGUGCCAAGUGAAUUCAAGCUACAGGGCUAAGGAUCCAUGGCCUCAGUCACCAUGAAGACCCUCCCAAGAGCCAGUCCUACGAGGCACAUAGAAACGAGUGGAGACAGAACUCACUCCUGCAAAGCCUAGAACCUGAUAGAGCACACGAGACAGGAGCCCAAAUAACCAAGAACCGGGAGCUGAAUGUGAGAGGUGGGCUCCAAAGGAUUCGGCCACCAAGGUGGAGAAGGAAAUAUACAUUUUCUAGAGCCCAAUCUGCCAGGAGAGAUCUAAGAGAUUACAAAGGAAAAAACUUGAAAUUCUGAGGACAGAGAAAAGAAAAAGGAAGAGUUAAUGACUAGUGAGACACCAUCAUGUAGACUGGUGCCACAUGGAAUCUGGGGCAACAGAACAUGAUCUAUCCAGAUGGACAUACAGGGAAAGCUGGUGCUGGGAAGCACCUUAAGCUACAUGAUUGCAAUAAAUUUUGCUCACCAGUGAUUGUGGGGGCUGAAGUAUAUUUCUCUUUGUUUCCAGUGUUGCCCAAGUUUGAAGUUAAAGUCAAUGCACCAUGAACAGUAACUAUUUCAGAUGAUGGAUUCCAAGUGGAUGC